GGAGUGGACGAACCUCUGGUGUUCCGGUUGUCACGCCAGUGGCAUUGCCGGGUAGCUAUGUUCGGAAAAGAUAACCGCUGAAAGCAUCUAAGCGGGAAACUUGCCUCAAGAUGAGAUCUCACUGGGAACUUGAUUCCCCUGAAGGGCCGUCGAAGACUACGACGUUGAUAGGCUGGGUGUGUAAGCGUUGUGAGGCGUUGAGCUAACCAGUACUAAUUGCCCGUGAGGCUUGACCAUAUAACACCCAAACA
rnacentral:rRNA from 1 species